GACGAACGCUGGCGGCGUGCUUAACACAUGCAAGUCGAACGGAAAGGCCCUGCUUGCAGGGUGCUCGAGUGGCGAACGGGUGAGUAACACGUGGGUGAUCUGCCCCUUACUUUGGGAUAAGCCUGGGAAACUGGGUCUAAUACUGGAUAGGACCAUGCUGUAGGUGGUGUGGUGGAAAGAUUAGUUUCGGUAAGGGAUGAGCUCGCGGCCUAUCAGCUUGUUGGUGGGGUAAUGGCCUACCAAGGCGUCGACGGGUAGCCGGCCUGAGAGGGUGGACGGCCACAUUGGGACUGAGAUACGGCCCAGACUCCUACGGGAGGCAGCAGUGGGGAAUAUUGCACAAUGGGCGCAAGCCUGAUGCAGCGACGCCGCGUGGGGGAUGACGGCCUUCGGGUUGUAAACUCCUUUCAGCCAUGACGAAGCCCUUGUGGUGACGGGAGUGGUAGAAGAAGCACCGGCUAACUACGU
rnacentral:rRNA from 1 species